GGCGGACGGGUGAGUACCACGUGGGAUAACCUACCCCGAGGUGAGGAAUACCGGCGAGAAAUCGCUGACAAGACCGCAUAGGUUUGGUUGUACCAAACAAAGCUCGGGAAACCGAGCGCCACGGGAGGGGUCUGCGCCCGAUUAGUUAGUUGGUGGGGUAACGGCUCACCAAGACGACGAUCGGUAGCUGGUCUGAGAGGAUGAUCAGCCACACUGGGAUUGAGAACGGCCCAG
rnacentral:rRNA from 1 species